rnacentral:lncRNA from 1 species
UUUUGGAUCCAAGGAGGUCUUGGAACCAUUCUCAUAAGGACUAUGAGAUUAACUGCUUCCCACUGCUCAUUUCUCCCUGCUUCUCUUCUCUACACUGUGCGUUCCAGAACAGCAAAAGUAUGAGUGUUCAGGCUUCAAUACCUCAUACAUAGCACAGCCAGGAGCUCACUAAAUGCUCAGAACCACUUAACAAAGGCAGCAUACAAUUCUGGAGUGUUUUACUAAUCUUCCACAGGAUCCUCUCAAUGAAUAGUAUCCCCACUUUGCAGAUGGGAUUGCCAAGAUCUGGAAAGAUUAAAUAGCUGGCUUAGCAUCAGAAAACCUGCCAAACCCUGGAGCCACUGGGGUCGGUCCAAGCUUUGUGAACUCUUGGCAUGGAUUCUGGACACUGGACUGACUUCUGUCUACUGACACUACAAAACAACUUGUGAUGCUGGGUGGUUCCAGCUAGGGAUAGAGUGAUGAGGAAGCACUGCUGGUAAGGGACUGAGGGUGAGAGUCAAGCUAAGGAGUGAGGGCGCUGUAGAUCUGAAGUCCAGUGCAUGGAUGGCCAUUGUGCUGUCCUCUGAUCUGAAGUCCAGUGCAUGGAUGGCCAUUGUGCCAUCCUCUGAUCUGAAGUCCAGUACAUGGACAGACAUUGUGCCGUCCUCUGACCUGAAGUCCAGUGCAUGAAUGGACAUGGUCCUGUCCUCUGUAUUGCUCUGCAUUCCAACCAAUGUAAAAAAGAACAAAAAACAAACUAAAACUAAAAACAAACAAACAAACAAAAUGUUACCAACCAACCCACUGGCAGGCAGGCAUGGAACCACUGUUUAUGCUUAUCUUCUUGGAGAACAUUUUUCAAAUAUUUUUUAAAAUGCUUUCCCUAUCCCUUGGCCCUCAAACCACUGCCCUUUAAUUUAUGUCUCUUUCUGCGGUGUAGAUAUACUUCCUGUGUUUCUUUCUCCACUGGGUUAAGAGAAAGAUGCUGGACACUGACCUAUUCACAUGAGUGGGUAACACAUGGUUGAUCACAUAGCCAGUUUUGGUAUGGUACUGAACCCCUGAGUCUGCCUGACUCCUUCGUGGUUCAUCUCUCACACUGCUUGAUCCUCCUUAUCUUUAUCUUUAUUCAAGUGAGAUAGUUCUUAUCAUUUCUCCUCUCUCCUGCCACACGACGACAUUAUCUGGUUUACUUCCAGUCCUCUGGGAUAAAAAAUCUAGGUUAGUUCAGGAGUCAGCUUUUGAAGCAAAAGCAUGUUCUUGCUGUCUCUCUUAUUCUCUUUCCUUUGGCCCUGGUGAAAGGGUUCCAAGUUACCAUCAUUCUCGUUUAGGGAGAAAACUCCAUCUAUGGGUCAAGAAAUUAAAUAAAAUACAGGAAGAGGUUUUCUGAACUCAUUAGAUAUUUUCUUGACAGCUUUUAUCAGAGAGUUCUGCAUAUUUUGAUUCUCUCAGGAACUACUCUGUACCUACUGUGCACCAAGUGCUCUAGCGCUACUGUUUAAUGAUAACACCAAAACCU